rnacentral:misc_RNA from 1 species
AGUAUGUGUUAGCUGCGCGUGCUCGCCACUCGCUCCAUGGCUUCUUAUUAUUUCGAGUUGACGGGCGGGAGGAAGUGUGAGUGAGACGCACUGAACGCGUGCGCUGCACGCGCGCGACCGGGGCAGCGAUAGCCGACAGCGAGGCCGGGCAUGGAGUAGAUAUCGUAGCGCGUAGCUUCGUAGCACUGAAAAGGGUCAUAUCUAUGCAAAAUAAUACGCAAAAUAAAAUUAUUACCA